rnacentral:rRNA from 1 species
CCUACGGGUGGCAGCAGUGAGGAAUAUUGGUCAAUGGACGAAAGUCUGAACCAGCCAUGCCGCGUGCAGGAUGACGGCUCUAUGGGUUGUAAACUGCUUUUGUAUUAGGGUAAACCCCCCUACGUGUAGGCGCUUGAACGUAUAAUACGAAUAAGGAUCGGCUAACUCCGUGCCAGCAGCCGCGGUAAUACGGAGGAUCCAAGCGUUAUCCGGAUUUAUUGGGGUUAAGGGGUGCGUAGGCGGUUUGUUAAGUUAGAGGUGAAAUACCGGUGCUCAACACCGGAACUGCCGUUAAGACUGUUGAACUAGAGAGUAGUAGAGGUAGGCGGAAUGCAUGGUGUAGCGGUGAAAUGCUUAGAGAUCAUACAGAACACCGAUUGCGAAGGCAGCUUACCAAACUAUAACUGACGUUGAGGCACGAAAGCGUGGGUAGCAAACAGGAUUAGAUACCCGUGUAGUC